ACCAGGCACAGUGGUGCAUGCCUGUGGCCCUAGCUACUUGGGAGACUGAGGCAGGAGAAUCGCUUAAGCCCAGGAGUUCUGGGCCAUAGUGCCCUAUGCCAAUUGGAUGUCCACACUAAGUUCAGCAUCAAUAUGAUAACCUCCUGGGAGUAGGGGACCACUGGUUGCCUAAGGAGGGGUGAACUGGCCCAGGUCAGAAAUGGAGCAAGUCAAAACUCCCAUUCUGAUCAGUAGUAGGAUCACACCUGUGAAUAGCUACUGCACUCUAGUCUGGGCAACAUAGUAAGACUCUGUCU
rnacentral:SRP_RNA from 10 species